rnacentral:tRNA from 6 species
GCGGCCAUGGCGGAACAGGCAGACGCGCUAGCUUCAGGAGCUAGUGGGGGCAACCCCGUGGAGGUUCAAUUCCUCUUGGCCGCACCA